UACGUAGGAUGCAAGCGUUGUCCGGAUUUACUGGGCGUAAAGCGCGCGCAGGCGGCAGUACAAGUACCCUCUGAAAUCUCCUUGCUCAACGAGGAGGGUGGAGGGUAGACUGUGCAGCUAGAGGAGGGUAGAGGGGGGUAGAAUUGCUGGUGUAGCGGUGAAAUGCGUUGAUAUCAGCAGGAACGCCGGUGGCGAAAGCGACCUGCUGGACCUCUUCUGACGCUGAGGCGCGAAAGCUAGGGGAGCAAACGGG
rnacentral:rRNA from 1 species